rnacentral:ncRNA from 2 species
CGGCAAAUGAACUGGCAAGGUGUCCAUCAGGUGCAAAGCACCCGGACUCAAUCGGGAAUGGGGAACGGGCGAACCCACACAGGGCGCCCCAAGCCUCAACCGCCCCCGCGACUGUAUGCGGCGAGCGGCCUUUCAACAGCCACUGACCCCUUGGGGUUGGGAAGGCGGAAGGUCGCCGUGACCCGCAAGUCAGGAAACCGGCCCUGCAAGAGGACGAAAA